rnacentral:rRNA from 1 species
GACGAACGCUGGCGGCGUGCUUAACACAUGCAAGUCGAACGGAAAGGCCCUGCUUUUGUGGGGUGCUCGAGUGGCGAACGGGUGAGUAACACGUGAGUAACCUGCCCUUGACUUUGGGAUAACUUCAGGAAACUGGGGCUAAUACCGGAUAGGAGCUCCUGCUGCAUGGUGGGGGUUGGAAAGUUUCGGCGGUUGGGGAUGGACUCGCGGUUUAUCAGCUUGUUGGGGGGGUAGUGGCUUACCAGGGCUUUGACGGGUAGCCGGCCAGGGAGGGUGACCGCCCCCCUUGGUCCUGAGAUAGGGCCCAGACUCCUACGGGGGGCAGCGGUGGGGAAUAUUGCACAAUGGGCGGAAGCCUGUGGCAGCAACCCCCCGUGCGGGAUGCCGGCCUUCUGGUUGUAAACCGCUUUAGCCUGUGACGAAGCGUGAGUGACGGUAAUGUGUGAAGAAGCACCGGCUAACUACGUG